GUGCUUGCUUCAGCAGCACACAUACUAAAAACUGGAACCAUGCAGAGAAGAUUAGCAUAGCCCCUGUACAAGGAUGACGUGCAAAUUUGUGAAGCGUUCCCAUUUUUU
ensembl:snRNA U6 U6 spliceosomal RNA